UACGGAGGGGGCUAGCGUUGUUCGGAUUGACUGGGCGUAAAGCGCGCGUAGGCGGAUCGUCAAGUCGGGGGUGAAAUCCCCGGGCUCAACCUGGGAAUGGCGAUGGAUACUGGCGAGCUAGAGUGUGUCAGAGGAUGGUGGAAUUCCCGGUGUAGCGGUGAAAUGCGUAGAGAUCGGGAGGAACAUCAGUGGCGAAGGCGGCCAUCUGGGACAACACUGACGCUGAAGCACGAAAGCGUGGGGAGCAAACAGG
rnacentral:rRNA from 1 species